CUUACACAUGCAGUCGAGGGGCAGCAUUUCAGUUUGCUUGCAAACUGGAGAUGGCGACCGGCGCACGGGCUGAGUAACACGCUAUCCAACCUGCCGAUAACUCGGGGAUAGCCUUUCGAAAGAAAGAUUAAUACCCGAUGGNAUAAUCAGACCGCAUGGUCUUAUUAUUAAAGAAUUUCGGUUAUCGAUGGGGAUGCGUUCCAUUAGGCAGUUGGUGAGGUAACGGCUCACCAAACCUUCGAUGGAUAGGGGUUCUGAGAGGAAGGUCCCCCACAUUGGAACUGAGACACGGUCCAAACUCNUACGGGAGGCAGCAGUGAGGAAUAUUGGUCAAUGGGCGCAGGCCUGAACCAGCCAAGUAGCGUGAAGGAUGACUGCCCUAUGGGUUGUAAACUUCUUUUAUAUGGGAAUAAAGUUUUCCACGUGUGGAAUUUUGUAUGUACCAUAUGAAUAAGGAUCGGCUAACUCCGUGCCAGCAGCCGCGGUAAUACGGAGGAUCCGAGCGUUAUCCGGAUUUAUUGGGUUUAAAGGGAGCGUAGGUGGACAGUUAAGUCAGUUGUGAAAGUUUGCGGCUCAACCGUAAAAUUGCAGUUGAUACUGGCUGUCUUGAGUACAGUAGAGGUUGGGCGGAAUUCGUGGUGUAGCGGUGAAAUGCUUAGAUAUCACGAAGAACUCCGAUUGCGAAGGCAGCUCACUGGACUGCAACUGACACUGAUGCUCGAAAAGUGUGGGUAUCAAACAGGAUUAGAUACCCUGGUAGUCCACACAGUAAACGAUGAAUACUCGCUGUUUGCGAUAUACAGUAAGCGGCCAAGCGAAAGCAUUAAGUAUUCCACCUGGGGAGUACGCCGGCAACGGUGAAACUCAAAGGAAUUGACGGGGGCCCGCACAAGCGGAGGAACAUGUGGUUUAAUUCGAUGAUACGCGAGGAACCUUACCCGGGCUUAAAUUGCAUUUGAAUANUNUGGAAACAGNUUAGCCGCAAGGCAAAUGUGAAGGUGCUGCAUGGUUGUCGUCAGCUCGUGCCGUGAGGUGUCGGCUUAAGUGCCAUAACGAGCGCAACCCUUAUCUUUAGUUACUAACAGGUCAUGCUGAGGACUCUAGAGAGACUGCCGUCGUAAGAUGUGAGGAAGGUGGGGAUGACGUCAAAUCAGCACGGCCCUUACGUCCGGGGCUACACACGUGUUACAAUGGGGGGUACAGAAGGCAGCUACCUGGUGACAGGAUGCUAAUCCCAAAAGCCUCUCUCAGUUCGGAUCGAAGUCUGCAACCCGACUUCGUGAAGCUGGAUUCGCUAGUAAUCGCGCAUCAGCCAUGGCGCGGUGAAUACGUUCCCGGGCCUUGUACACACCGCCCGUCAAGCCAUGAAAGCCGGGGGUACCUGAAGUACGUAACCGCAAGGAGCUCCUAGG
rnacentral:rRNA from 1 species